UUGGCCCUGAAUCAAGGCCAACAGUUUGCUGUAGCUGCUGGUUUCAAACAGGAGCCUAAAGAGAAGUCUUUCUGUGGUCUGUUGGCCAUUUCAGAACUUUGGAAAUGUAAUGGCCAAUUCAUUAGAAAGAAACAGCU
rnacentral:snoRNA from 1 species